CAAGCUAAUAAGGGCGCAAGGGGAAUGCCUUGGCAUUGGAAGCCGAUGAAGGACGUAGCGAUCUACGAAAAGCCACGGGGAGGCGAAAGCAGCCCUCGAUCCGUGGAUAUCCGAAUGGGGAAACCCGGCAGAGCAAUACUCUGUCAACCUCUUGUGAAUAAAAUAGCAAGUCGUGGGGAACCGCCUGAACUGAAACAUCUAAGUAGGGCGAGGAAAAGACAUCAACCGAGAUUCCGUAAGUAGUGGCGAGCGAACGCGGAAGAGGCCAAACCAAGAGUAGUAAUACUUUUGGGGUUCGGACUGCAACAUGUACUGAUAAGGUUAGUAGAAUGAGAUGGGAAGCUCAACCAUAGAGUGUGAGAGUCACGUACACGAAAACCGAGUCAGGCUAGCAGGAUCCAGAGUACCGCCGGACACGUGAAACCCGGUGGGAAUACGGGGGGACCACCCUCCAAGCCUAAAUACUCUCCAAUGACCGAUAGUGAAUAGUACUGUGAAGGAAAGGUGAAAAGAACCCCUGGCGGGGAGUGAAAUAGAACCUGAAACCUUGUGCCUACAAGCACAUAGAGCACAUCAACGUGUGAUAUGGUACCUUUUGUAGAAUGGUCCGGCGAGUGAAUGUCACUAGCGAGGUUAAGGACUUAAGGUCUGAAGCCGAAGCGAAAGCGAGUCUUAAUAGGGCGAAAAUAGUUAGUGGUAUUCGACCCGAAACCGAGUGACCUAGCCAUGAGCAGGCUGAAGUGGAGGUAAAACUCCAUGGAGGGCCGAACCCACUCCCGUUGAAAUGGUAGGGGAUGACUUGUGGCUAGCGGAGAAAUUCCAAUCGAACUCGGAGAUAGCUGGUUCUCUCCGAAAUAGCUUUAGGGCUAGCCUCAAUAUACAUUACCGCAGGUAAAGCACUGAAUGGGCUAGGGGGCGAAAGCUUACUGAACCCUAUCAAACUAAGAAUGGCGGAUAAUGAAAUAUUGGGAGUCACACUACGUGAGAUAAGUUUCGUGGUGGAAAGGGAAACAGCCCAGACCCACAGCUAAGGUCCCAAAGUACGGUUAAGUGGAAAAGGAUGUGGAAUUGCACAGACAACCAGGAUGUUGGCUCAGAAGCAGCCAUUCAUUCAAAGAGUGCGUAAUAGCUCACUGGUCGAGUGACUCUGCGCCGAAGAUUUAACGGGGCUAAAUCGUACACCGAAGCUUGGGAAUAUA
rnacentral:rRNA from 1 species